rnacentral:rRNA from 1 species
CAAUAGCGUAUAUUAAAGCUGUUGCGGUUAAAAAGCUCGUAGUUGGAUUUCUGUUGGGAACGACCGGUCCGCCCAUUGGGUGUGUAUCUGGCUUGUUCUCGGCAUCUUCUUGGUGAACGUUGCUGCACUUGACUGUGUGGAGCGCUACCCAGGACUUUUACUUUGAGGAAAUUAGAGUGUUUCAAGCAGGCAUAUGCCUUGAAUACAUUAGCAUGGAAUAAUAAGAUAGGACCUCGGUUCUAUUUUGUUGGUUUCUAGAGCUGAGGUAAUGAUUAAUAGGGAUAGUUGGGGGCAUUCGUAUUUAACAGUCAGAGGUGAAAUUCUUGGAUUUGUUAAAGACGAACUACUGCGAAAGCAUUUGCCAAGGAUGUUUUCAUUAA